CACUAUGGCCAUGCUACCAUGAACAAGCCCGAUCCUAUAUGAUCUCAGAAGCUAAGUAGGGUCAGGCCUGGUUAGUACUUGGAUAGGAGACCACCUUGGAAGACCAGGUGCUGUAGGUG
ensembl:rRNA 5S_rRNA 5S ribosomal RNA